CCUUACGGGUGAGCAAAGAAAGGGGUUCCUUGAGAUGAAAUCUCCCCCUGGCAAAGAUGCUGUGAA